rnacentral:rRNA from 1 species
GCUUACGGCCAUACCACCUUAGGCACGCCCGAUCUCGUCUGAUCUCGGAAGCUAAGCAGGGUAGGGCCUGGUUAGUACUUGGAUGGGUGACCGCCUGGGAAUACCAGGUGCUGUAAGCA